rnacentral:rRNA from 1 species
UACGAAGGGGGCUAGCGUUGCUCGGAAUCACUGGGCGUAAAGGGCGCGUAGGCGGCCAUUCAAGUCGGAGGUGAAAGCCCAGGGCUCAACCCUGGAAUUGCCUUCGAUACUGUUUGGCUAGAGACCGGAAGAGGUAAGUGGAACUGCGAGUGUAGAGGUGAAAUUCGUAGAUAUUCGCAAGAACACCAGUGGCGAAGGCGGCCAACUGGUCCGGUACUGACGCUGAGGUGCGAAAGCGUGGGGAGCAAACAGG